AUCCUUUUGUAGCUCAUCAGUGUAAUGAGUGGGUUUUCACCUGACUGUGCGAGGUGCGCCGCCUAUAAACCUUGUCACAACACUGGCACAGUGCCCGCCUGAAG
ensembl:snoRNA